rnacentral:rRNA from 1 species
GAUGAACGCUGGCGGCGUGCCUAAUACAUGCAAGUCGAGCGAACAGACGAGGAGCUUGCUCCUCUGACGUUAGCGGCGGACGGGGGAGUAACACGUGGAUAACCUACCUAUAAGACUGGGAUAACUUCGGGAAACCGGAGCUACUACCGGAUAAUAUAUUGAACCGCAUUGUUCAAUAGUGAAAGACGGUUUUGCUGUCACUUAUAGAUGGAUCCGAGCCAUAUUAGCUAGUUGGUAAGGUAACGACUUACCAAGCCAAUGAUGAGAUGCCGACCUGGGAGGUAGAGCGGCAGCACCGGAACAAAGACACAGCCCACACACCUCCGAGAGGCAGCAAUAGCGAAUGUUGCUCAACAGGCGAAAACCUGACGGAGCAACGCCGCGUGAGAGACGAAGGACUUCGGAUCGGAAAACGCUGUUAUUAGUGAAGAACACAUGUGUAAGUUACUAUGCGCGGCUUGACGGUACCUAAUCAGAAAGCCACGGCUAACUACGGG